rnacentral:lncRNA from 1 species
CUCAUGAUAAGCUCUCACAUGGAAAUGAUGAAUAGUUGCUCUGCCAUGACUAGUUCUCAAAAUUGCAAUCUCUCUCAAGUUUAGGCAUGACUGUUAUGAAUUAAGAUUUGCUCUAAACCAGAACUUGUGGGAAGAGUACAUGAUCAAAAAUCUAAGUCGUUAACAGAUAUGAUAUGGGAAGGAUGAGCUGCUGUUUAUCUGUUCCUAGAGAUACUAGAAUUCUAGAGAAUUUUAUCUUUGAAAAUCUUUAAAAUGUUGCAUGAUGAGUUCCUGUAUGAUGAGAGUUUAAAAUCCUACCACCGCCAUAUAUACAUGCUUAUUAGACAAUGAACCAUAUAUUUAUUUUUUACUGCUUAUGAGCAUUGAGUGUGGUCAAGCUAUGUAGACCCUUAGAGCUUAUCUUGCGGUUAAAAUCAAGAUUCACUUGCACGUUCACUCAUAAAUGCUGCUUCUACUCUGGAAGUAUGCAUCCACAUACAUCCACUCAUUUCCAUCUCCAGAUUCACCCAAAAUUAUUCUACUCCUAUCCAGGAGAGAAUAGCCAAAAACAUUAUCCUAUCCUUGCUAUUCCCCGUGAAAUAAGUGCUCGAGAUAUUUUGGUUACUACCACUGCUACAUUAUUCUAGGAGGGUGAGUGCUCUGAAAAAAAAGAAGUGAAUACGAGGAAAUAAAAAGGGGCAAGUGCCCGGAACCUCGAAGAAAAGAAAAAGAGAGACGAGAGGUAAAAAUGGACAAGUGUCCGACAGUAGAAUUAAGGGUACAAGAUACCCACCUAAGAGAAAAGAAAAAGAAAAUAUAGAGCAUCUCACUCUCCUCAAAAAGCUUCAAAGUGCAAGAAAGGUAUGUAUCCCCUAAAAAGAGCAAAAGUAUAAUUAGACUUUCACCUUUGUUAUCACCAUCAUCACCAUACACCAUUCAUUCGCCACACAUGCACAUCUUGAUUGGACUUAUUAAUAAAUGUCUUGUAAGUAUGUAUUAUCUGUCUCCCGCCUAUGAGCUCCUGAUAUCAAAACCUUAUUAGAGUAGGGUGAGAGAGAAGGCAAUAUCACUAUGCCUCAUACCAAAAAUACCACAUACUGUGAGAGAAGGCAUAUACCAUUAUUGCCUUGGAAAGGAUCCAGAAAUACCACAAAAG